CACACUGCUCAUGUCAGGGUCUUGUGGAGCUCAGGUGUCAGCAGGUGUCAGCAUGGGUGCAUCACGUGUUCCGCUGGGAGACCAGGCACGCUGCAUAGUCCCAGCCAUCUCUUUGUCUACCAGGCCCCGUCCUAGGAUCCACACUGGGCUGUCGAUGACUGUGAUUCUACUGGGGUCGAGGAAUGUGAAUGAGCUCAGCAUAGCUACCCACCUGGCCUCCGUUGCCCUUGUGUUCAGUGAGGGGACAUCAGCCUGGCUGUGAAGGCCCUUCCUGGGUGAUUCUAGAAGUGGCUGAGGGGUGGGUUGUUGCUGGGCUGGUUCCAUCCAUCCCUGAGGGCAGGUUCUCCCACAAACAGGGCACAGCUCACUGGGAUGACAGAAAGCAAUCUUCGGCCAAGCAGGGAAAUAAAGGAGCUGGGAUGGUUUACAGCUAUGCUUAAACUUCCGGGCAUCCAGCCGAGUGAGGUGGCUCAGGCCUGUAAUCCCAGGAGUUUGGGAGGCUGAGGCAGGUGGAUCGCUUGAGUCCAGGAGUUAGAUACCAGCCUAGGCAAUACGGGCAAAACCGCAUCUCUGAAAAAAAUACAAAAAUUAGCUGGGCGUGGUGGCAUGCCCCUGAAGACCCACCUACUUGGGAGGCUGAGGUGGGAGGAUCACUUGAGCCUGGGAGGCAGAGGUUGCAGAGAGCCAUGGUUGCGCUACUGCACUCCAGCUUGGGUGCGAGUGAGACCCUGCCUCAAAAAACAAACAAACAAACCAAAAAAACCUGAGAAGAAAAAAAUCUUCCAGGUAUUCACCUGUGUACCAAAGUUCAGCAGGCGAUGCUGUCCCCAUCAGUAUCCUCAGGGGCUAGCCUCUGCACCAGGUCCUGGUUCUGCCAUCCACAGCUUUGUGAGCAGGACUUGAGCCCAGGGGUUACUGCCUGGUGACCUUGGCAAGGGAGGAGCCCUCUAUGGUCUCCAGUGUUGCCAUCAGCAGAUGAGAGGUGACGGGUGCCCAAGCGCUGGCUUGCAGCUGCCACGAUGAAGGAUUGGCAUGCCUGCCCCCUGUUUCCUCCCCAGGUCUGCACAGCUCCCCCGCCUCGGCUGCGAGCUUGCCUCAGAGUUCUCAGGGCCUAGGAUGUUGGGGGUGCCCCUCAGCCCUGGGGGCCCUGUGGGUUCCACCUCUGUACAGAUUCAGGAAGGAUUUGAAGCCAGCAGAGAGAGUCCUUAGAAUGAGCAGGAAUCCACAUCCUAGUGUCCUGGUGUGACCCCUGCCCUGUGACUCCUCUUCAUAUGGUCCAAGCCGGUACACUCUGCUGUAGCAGAAAUAAACCAACCUCAAGCAGCAUGGUGGAAUAGGAAGCUCCUGAAUCUCCCCCGACCCAGAAAUGCACCAGAUAGGUCUAUU
rnacentral:lncRNA from 1 species